rnacentral:tRNA from 3 species
GCCGGUAUAGCUCAGUGGUAGAGCGUUCCACUCGUAAUGGAAAGGUCCACGGUUCGAUCCCGUGUAGCGGCA